GGAAAGGCGCGCGAUACAGGGUGACAGCCCCGUACACAAAAAUGCACAUGCUGUGAGCUCGAUGAGUAGGGCGGGACACGUGGUAUCCUGUCUGAAUAUGGGGGGACCAUCCUCCAAGGCUAAAUACUCCUGACUGACCGAUAGUGAACCAGUACCGUGAGGGAAAGGCGAAAAGAACCCCGGCGAGGGGAGUGAAAAAGAACCUGAAACCGUGUACGUACAAGCAGUGGGAGCACGCUUAGGCGUGUGACUGCGUACCUUUUGUAUAAUGGGUCAGCGACUUAUAUUCUGUAGCAAGGUUAACCGAAUAGGGGAGCCGAAGGGAAACCGAGUCUUAACUGGGCGUUAAGUUGCAGGGUAUAGACCCGAAACCCGGUGAUCUAGCCAUGGGCAGGUUGAAGGUUGGGUAACACUAACUGGAGGACCGAACCGACUAAUGUUGAAAAAUUAGCGGAUGACUUGUGGCUGGGGGUGAAAGGCCAAUCAAACCGGGAGAUAGCUGGUUCUCCCCGAAAGCUAUUUAGGUAGCGCCUCGUGAAUUCAUCUCCGGGGGUAGAGCACUGUUUCGGCAAGGGGGUCAUCCCGACUUACCAACCCGAUGCAAACUGCGAAUACCGGAGAAUGUUAUCACGGGAGACACACGGCGGGUGCUAACGUCCGUCGUGAAGAGGGAAACAACCCAGACCGCCAGCUAAGGUCCCAAAGUCAUGGUUAAGUGGGAAACGAUGUGGGAAGGCCCAGACAGCCAGGAUGUUGGCUUAGAAGCAGCCAUCAUUUAAAGAAAGCGUAAUAGCUCACUGGUCGAGUCGGCCUGCGCGGAAGAUGUAACGGGGCUAAACCAUGCACCGAAGCUGCGGCAGCGACGCUUAUGCGUUGUUGGGUAGGGGAGCGUUC
rnacentral:rRNA from 1 species